AAUUCUGCUGAUAUAGAACAUAUCAGGUGGAUCACCUUUCUAAGCUUAGCCCCAACUAGCAUGACCAAUUCAUCAGAAGCCAGACCAUUUCAAUAUGUCACUGCAAUGCAUGUCUCUCAGGGCAGCUGGCUAAAAACCAUAACUUUAACAAAUUGAAAAAGCUCAGUUGUAAGACAAAGAAAACAACAUAAUGGAGAGAACAAUAAAAUAACAUAGUAGACAAUAAAUAACCCAUGAUUAGAGUGAGAUUGCAUUUUUGGACAGAAUACAUUGGCAAAUAGAAAAUUUUAGCCUGAUCAAAUCAGGCAAUUUCCUCUGAAGAGGUCAUCCUCUUCUACAGUGCUGUGGCCAAGGCUGCAUCUUUACUGCAGUUUGACACCACUUUAACUGUCAUGGCUCAAUGCUAUGGAGUCCUGGGAUUUGUGGUUUUGUUAGGUAUUGACACUCUUGGGCAGAGAACAGUGAAGGCCUUAUAAAGCUACGACUCCCAUGAGACCACAGCGUUGAACGAUGGCAGUUUUAAUGGUGUCAAACUGUAUAUAUUAAUGAAUUGAUUUAGAGAUUUUCCUCCACCUAACACCAGUCAGGAUAGUCAAGAGAGUGGUCUCUAAUAAAGAACAGAUGGCAGAAGCAAACUCUAGCACAAGUUAAACACUACUAUGUCUUUCAAUCGAUAUUUUAAAUAUUUGUUCACUUCCUCAUUUGUGAGAGGUUGUCUUUAGAGUGUAUUGUAUGCAUUCUGGAGUUUGGCAAACAACCAGCAUCAAUUUGCAAAUACCCAGCAGUGGUUCAUCCGUACCCAGUUUAUGAAUAAAUAGGCCUCCAGUUCAUUUUGAACACAAUCCCUUUGCUGCCAAGUCAUCUUCUUUUAGAAGCAAAAUGGGGGGCAGGGAAGGACAUCUCCACAUGCCAAAAGCUUCUCGUGUUUCCAGGCAUUGUAUUGGCACUAGAAACGGGAGCCUUGGAAAUAUAUCUCAGUGAGGGGAAAAAUAUAUAUUUGCCUGAAGCUCAACCCAGUCAGAAUGGAGGAAAAUAUUAAACACUAUGAAUAAAUUAUUGUUUGAACAAACACUAAAUGAUAGAAGCAUCUAAGCUGCUUUUGUUUCAUACAUUCCCCUCUAAAUAAAUAAAAUAAACCACCGUUUACAUCCAUAAGCAAAAUGAAUUAUUUUUGAGGCAACAUGAUGGGGGCAGCUCUACACAAUUUGUGGUACCCAUCCUUUACAAUUAGAAGGGUUUGAAUAUGCAGUCAACCAAGCUUUUAAAUUGGCUGAACACUCUGAACCACUUUAUUUAUGUUCUUUCCAAGGGUUAGAAAAGACACUAGGAAGUGAACCAUGAUUCCAAUGGAGCAGAGCCAGAAACAUUCAUAAUUAUUACUCUCUUUAUUCUGUCACUGUACUUUUACAUUGGCUGUUUGCUGGAAAUUCCAAAUUUAGAAACUUGAAAAACUAAUUAGAAAUCCAAUUACUAACAUUAGAAAGCUCUGACCUGUAAAAACACACACAGAGACUCCUGUAUGCCAAAAAUAGUCUCUAAAUCUGUUGCAUUCUUGUGAGAAUUAUGACAACGUGACAACAAGUUUUAGGGAACAUUGAAAGCCUGUGUGUGAAUAACAUAAACAUACACUCCAGUUUACAUGCAACCCUUACAGUAUGUUGUGUUAUACAGCAAAAAUGACCUGUGAAUUAUUAACAAGCAAAAACAGCAUUGCAGAUGGAGAAAACUUGGUUUUGCAAAUUCUUGGUACUAACAUUUGACAAUUUGAGUAUCUCCAAUGUGAGAACAAGAGUCAAAGGGUUUAUUUAAACGUCUUCUAUAAAUCUGUGCUGCUUCACCAAGCAAGGGAGUGCUUAUAGUCUUCUGUGUAAUGUUGGAUUAAAGACGUCCAUUUGCCUGCCUGAAAUAUUGAUAAAAAUUAAAAACUGGACUCUUACUAUGGCUUUGUGCUGGCAUUUGUUGUUCAUUGUCAUUAAGUUAGCUUUCAGCUAUGGCAGUCCUAUGAAUUACUACCAUAAGUGAAAACUGAGUAAAUGACAAUCAACAUCUAUUUUACAUCUACAGUUGUCUUCUGUAUUUUGAAUUGGGAGAAGGGAGGCUUGUAUUAAUACAUUUGAAACUGUUAUCAGAUUGGAUUGGAUUUUUUCAAUUGCCUUUUGCAGGAGUAUGGCUGACAAGGAGCUCUGGUGUGGGUCAUGAGGUCACGAAGUGUCGGAAGUGACUGAACGAAUAAACAACAAAAAGUAUGUAAUGCCUAUAGUUUGUUUAGUCCAAUACAGGUUAAUUAUGAAUUUUACCAGUGAAUGUACAAUAUUGUAUCAGCUAAUCCCUAGAGUUGCAGCACUUUCCUUUUUUAUUUUAUGUUGUGGGUGUGGUAACAGGCCUGAACCCAUGGUUAGGAAUCCUAAAAGAGAAGGGAAUUCAGGAUGGAUGGAAGUUUCUUAAAAGUGAGAUUUUGAAGGCACAAUUUCAAAGAGUUUGAAUGGGGAGGGCAAAUGGUAGGUAAUACAGAAGCAAAGAGAAAGAAAAAAGUAAAGAAAAGCCAAUGCAAUGUUAGGCCACAUUUAUAGUAGACAAAUUUCUAGAUCAAGAGAAAUGAUGGUACCACUCUAUUCUGCUUUCAGAUUUAAAAAUAAUAAUGAAAUGCCAAUUGAUCCUCAGAGUGCUCUGCCAGCCCUAACCCUCCUUAAGUUAAUAUGCCAUUGAUUCUUUAUAUUAUUUUUCCUGUACCCUCAGUAAUUUUGUAGAAUUAAUUUUUGGAAUUAUGUUUUGUUUAAAAUUGCUAAGAGCUUGCCCUAAUGUGUCUGUAACUCUUCGUUGCAUAUGCACCCAUCCAAAAAAUGAGAAAGGCGAGACCCCCCCUUUUUUUGCAACUGGAAAAAGAAAGAGGGCCAAAAUUUGAGUCUGUAUUUCCAGAGCAUGUAAAUAGCCAUUAUGGGUAGGUCCUAGGACUUGUAGUCCCCAAAGGUAACCUUUCAAAGCUCUACAUGCCUUCAAUAGAGAUGCAAUUAGGAUACUAUUGAGGGAGGACCAGGAAUAGAAGGUUAAGGCCAGUAUCACCCAGGGCUACAGCUAUGGGGAGGAUCAAAAUGAGGGUAUGGCUCCACACAGAAGAAUUCUACCACUCCAUGAAUUUAGCUUUCAGUAUCCACAUUUUUAGUCCUGAAAAAAUUUCUAUCCUAUAACUUUUUUUAUUUGCUAUGCUCACAUUUCCAUCGUAACUUUGCUUAUCUAUUUUCUUUGGAAACCACUUUGAGUCCCCCCAGGGGUGAGAAAAGCGGUAUAGAAAUGCAGAUAAAAUAAUAAUAAUAAUAAUAAUAAUAAUAAUAAUAAUAAUAAUAAUCUGAAUUUCUAAAUGCUCCACUGAGAUUUAAGUAAUUCCAAUGCUUAAAAUUUGGGGAGUGAAAAAAAAAAUAGGCAGGUGAGGGCAUAAUAUGUAUGUCUACUCCCACUUCACAUAGCUACACCCCUGGGGUCCCCAUCAAGCAGCUGCUUUAAUCCCACUGUCAUGGCAGGGCCUAACUUCAGUUUCCAAUUCAUUUAUAUAUCCUGACCUGGUGAUUUGAGUAACCUUGUGUGUUGUGUUUAAUUUUUGCAUUCCACAAGGUAGUGUCACAGCAGGACACUGAUGGAAAUUAAAUUGGCAGUUAGACUUAACUGCUGUUGCCUGGCACUAUUGCGAGGUAAGUCCAGGACUCACUGAAGGACGAGUAGGCCAACAAAGGGAAGAUUUGCCAGGUACCCUUCAAAUCUGAAGCUGGCUCUGUGCAAGGGAGUGUUUAACAUUCCCCAACUGAUCUUUCCACCUUGGUAUGCCACACAACUCAAAAUAAGUCUGCCUGGACUCACUGCUGACAUGAGAGAAAGGACCAGGAACUGGUUUUUAACAUAAUUAGUUUUAAUAUGCUUUAUCACAGGGGUCCCCAAACUAAGGCCCGGGGGCCACAUGCAGCCCAUCGAAGCCAUUUAUCCGGCCCCCGAUGCGGCGGUGGCUCCCUCCUCCUCCACUGAGGAAGGCACGGGCAGUCCGGUGUGCGCCUUCCAAAGCUUUGCUUGUUUAUAAUGGUAUUUUAAUUAUUAUUUAAUUAAUUAUUAAUUAAUUAUUAAGGGGUGCUUUGCUAGUGAUUUUGGUGCACAAAGGUAGACGGGGGUUGGAUUAAAUGGCCCAAGGGGUCUCAUCCAACCCUCUUUAUUAUUAUUAUUAUUAUUAUUAUUAUUAUUGACAGAAGGACACAGUAUAACACAGCAAACGAGAUAUUAUUGCUGGAUUUUGUAUCACAAAAUCACAAGUUGAACACUUCCCAAGCAUUUAGGACUGUGUGAUUUUUUAUUAUUAUUAUUAUUAUUAUUAUUAUUAUUAUUAUUAUUAUUAUUAUUAAAAGCAACAUUGAGGCUGGGUGGACAUUUGUUGGACUAAAUGGCCCAAGGGGUCUCUUCCAACCCUCUUUAUUAUUUUUAUUAUGAUUAUGAUUACGAUUAACAUUAAGGCUAUAUUUGUUCCCAUUUUGUUUGUUUUUUACUUCAAAAUAAGAUUUGUGCAGUGUGAAUGGAAAUUUAUUCGUAUUUUUUUUUUAAACUAUUGUCCGGCCCUCCAACGGUCUGAGGGACCAUGAACUGGCCUCCUGUUUAAAAGGUUUGGGGACCCCUGCUUUAUCAUGUAUUGUUGUUUAAUUUUUGCAUUUUUCAUUUAUGUAUUUAUUAUUUAUUCAUGUAUUUUGAGUCAGUAUUGUAUUAUGUCUGAAUGCCAUCUAAUUUUUGCCAAGUGUUAGCAGCUCUACGUCCCUCAAUGAGGGAGUGAGGAGCGUAUCUAAAACAAAGUAAACAAAUAACAGUCAGUCACUACUUUAUGUCUCCUUAAUGUAAACAGCUUGACCAAGAUUUGCUAAAAUUUGUAGAACCAUAGAAUCACAGAAUCAUAGAGUUGGAAGAGACCUCAUGGGCCAUCCAGUCCAAACCCCUGCCAAGAAGCAGGAAAAUUGCAUUCAAAGCACUCCUGACAGAUGGCCAUCCAGCCUCUGUUUAAAAGCCUCCAAAGAAGGAGUCUCUGCCACAGUCUGGGGCAGAGAGUUCCAUAGCUGAACAGCUCUCACAGUUAGGAAGUUCUUCCUGAUGUUCAGGUGGAAUCUCCUUUCCUGUACCUUUAAGCCGUUGCUCUGAGUCCUAGUCUCCAGGGCAGCAGAAAUAAGCCUGCUCCCUCCUCCCUAUGACUUCCCCUCACAUAUUUAUACAUGGCCAUCAUGUCUCCUCUCAGCCUUUUCUUAUCUUUAAGCUGCUCCUCACAGGGCUUGUUCUUCAGACCCUAGAUCAUUUUAGUUGCCUUCCUCUGGACACAUUGCAGCUUGUCAACAUCUCCCUUCAAUUGCGGUGCCCAGAAUUGGGCAAAAUAUUCCAGGUGUGGUCUGACUAAAGCAGAAUAGAGCAUUAUUAUUAUUAUUAUUAUUAUUAUUAUUAUUAUUAUUAUUAACCUUAUUUAUAUCGUGUCUUUCUCUACCCUAAGGGGGACUCAACGUGGCUUACAAAGACACUUAUACAGUGCCUUAGAACAUAACAGAAACAUGAGAGAAAAUUGAAUUAAAAUUAAUACAUACAAAAUAGAAUAAAUACAUUUGAAUGUAGCAUGACUUCCCUGGAUCUAGACAAUAUACUCCUAUUUAUGCAGGCCAAAAUCCCAUUGGCUCUUUUACCUGCCGCAUCACAUUGUAGUCUCAUGUUUAACUUGUUGUCCAUGAGGACUCCAAGAUCUUUUUCGCACAUACUGCUGUCGAGCUAGGCGUCCCCCAUUCUGUAUUCCAUUUUUUCUGCCUACGUGGAGUAUCUUGCAUUUGUCCCUGUUGGACUUCAUUUUGUUAGUUUCAGCCCAUCUCUAUAAUCUGUUAAGAUCAUUUUGGAUUCUGCUCCUGUCUGCUAGAGUAUUAGUUAUCCCUCUCAAUUUGGUGUCAUCUGCAAACUUGAUGAUCAUGCCUUCUAACCCUUCGUCUAAGUCAUUAAUAAAGAUGUUGAACAGAACUGGGCCCGGGACGGAACCCUGCGGCACUCCACUCGUCACUUCUUUCCAGGAUGAGGAGGAAGCGUUGAAUUUUGCCUGGUAUCGACGUGAGGCUGACCGGACGGUAAUUGGGUCUUCCUUUUUUCCCUUCUUGAAGAUAGGGACCACAUUUGCCCUCCUCCAAUCUGCUGGGACUUCUCCCGUUCUCCAAGAACUCUCAAAGAUGAUUGCCGGUGGUUCUGAAAUAGCAUCCACUAGUUCCUUCAAUACUCUUGGAUGUAGUUGAUCUGGCCCUGGGGACUUGAAUUCAUUUCGAAGAGGAUUAUGAAGCUACAUUCUGGAAUGACUUGAGAAACUGCAAGUCACUUCUGGUGUGAGGGAAUUGACCGUCUGCAAGGACAUUGCCCAAGGACUCCUGGAUGUUUGAUGUUUUUACAUCCUUGUGGGAGGCUUCUCUCAUGUCCCUGCAUGGGGAGCUGGAGCUGACAGAAGAAGCUCAUCCCCUCUCUCCCCAGAUUCAAACCUGCAACCUUCAGGUCAGCUACCCAACCUUCAAGUCAGCAGUCAUGCCGGCACAAGGGUUUAACUCAUUGCACCACUGGCUGAAUAAAUGAUAUCAUGAGACUUGGGAAACCCAGAAAGAAAGAAAGACACAGUAGUAGGAACGUUAUGCAGUUUUCAUCCAGUGUCCAUACGUUUUGAAGUCUUUCAGGAAAUGGUAUUAGGCAGAAAUGCACAUGUAGGAAUUGUGGGGUUUUGCACACACACAAACAUACACAAAACACUGUUUCCAGACAGGCACAACUGUGCUGUGGCCAAGCUUGCUGUGGUUAUGCAAAAAACAGCAGUACAAAAUUUUUCCACCAGCACAAAAAAUGGGUUCACACUUUUGUUUUGCAAUAUUUUUGUGUUCUGUGCAAGAGGUUUUUUUUUGUUGUGCAGUAUUUUUGUUACAUUGCUGGAGUUUUGUUGGCAGAAAACAACAGUGGUGCACAUUUGUUCCUGCAUAGAAUGAUUUCCUCCCUUAAAAACUACGGGAAUGCUGGGCAAAAAUUGUGCAGAAACAUUUGAUUUCUUGGCAGUGGUGAGAAAACUGGGAGAACACCUUCUCACUUGCCAAAAUGAAACAGUAAAAUAUUAUCAUCCGUAAAAUGUAUAGAAUAUGUCAUUGUCAAUGUACAGUGUAUAGCAUGAUUGGUAAUCAUGGUUUCAUUUGGCUGCAUCUGACAAAAUGACAAAAUAUCUAAGAAUUUCCUAAGGCCCUCCAAAAAAAUCUACAGUAACCUCAACAAUGUAUCUCUUAUAAACGGAUUGCAUUGUACAUGAGAUCUUAAAUUCCACAAAGAAAAAAAAUCUGUAUAUGUCCAGGGUUCAUAUGCCUGCUGAAACAUUGAUCUCUCUGCAUAUAGCAAUACAGUGUUCCCUCACUACUUCGUGGUUCACUUUUCGUGGAUUCGCUGUUUCGUGGUUUUUCAAUAAACUCUAAAAGAUUAUUAUAAAUCAUAAAAAAUUACAAUUUACAGCCUAAGGAAGGGAGGAAGGAGAAGCCAAAGGGAGAGAAAAGGAGCCCAAGCAGCAACAAGAGGAGAAGGAGGCGAUUUACCAACACAUGAUUGGUUGAUAAAGACUUAUAAUAGUAUAUAACUACUAAAAUAAUGUGUAAAUAUUAAAAUAAAUAUAGUGUCCCUACUUUGCGGAUUUUCACUUAUUGCGGGUGGUCCUGGAACCUAACCCCCGCGAUAAGUGAGGGAACACUGUAGCUAAAUAAGGAUUACAAAUAUUUUUAAAUCUAAGAGGGCACCUCUUUAGGAUCUCUAGGUCCUCCAACACAACUCCAUGGUGAACUUUGGGAAAUUGACCAUAUCAUUGCACUGGAUGAUCUACAAAUACCUAGAUAAACUUUUUUUCUAGGAAUCUCUAGGUCCUGUAGUACAACUCUAUAUCAAUUUCUGGUGUUAGUGAUUCCUAGAGUUUAGGGAAUUUAGGUCCAACAUUAUAUAUUCUGGUAUCUUUAUUCUAGUCCAGUGAUUCUCAACUUUUAUUCCACCUGGUGUUUUGGACCUCAGCACUCAGAAUUCUUGACUGUUGGCCAAACUGGCAGGGAUUUCUGGGAAUUUUCCCAAUCUAACAGGUCUUUGAUGCUGGCCCUAGAACCUUGGUAUGCUUAUGUGGGUAUAUGUGUUCUGCCCAGGUCUUAAAUCUGUGGGAUGGUUGCAAGAGUAUGACUACAGAAGAGUGAGAAAAUAUUCUAAAUCAGAACUUAAAUAUUAACCUUAAAAUGAUUGGAUCAUGAGUGAGAGAUAUGAUGUUUGCUGUUAGUUUUAAUUGAUAGAUUAGGGCUGCAUGUUUGUCCCACUAACUUCAACAGAACAUAUUUACAAUGUAUGUGUGUGAUUGCCUUGUUAGUUGUUAAAUCUCCAAAUAAAGGAAAAGAAUUGAAACUUGGUAAACUUUUAUGUUCAGACACACUGCUUCCAAAAAAAGGGACUGCCUUCACUGGACAACAAUUACAGCAGUUGUUCACAAAGUCAUUUUCUCAAGCUGUGUAAGCAACACACUCAAUUUUCAUGAUCAAUGGAGUUAAUGAAUAUUCUUACCUGUAGAAAAAGCAAGCAUUUUAAAUUUCUUUAAAAUGAUCAAUACCAUAUUAUUACUUAAAUGUAAAGGGAAGAGCUUCUACAAUAGCAUUCCUGCUUCCUGCCUUCUGGACCACAAGCCUGUGUUCAUGUUUACAUCAAGGUCGGCGGCAGUUGCUUAAUCGCCAGAGCAAAGAGCAGCAAAGAACAGAAAAGGGAAGCACCACCAUCAGCGCUACAUUUUUAGUUACCAUGAGUGGUUUGCUUUUCCAUCGUGAGACAACACUUCAGUCUUCUACUAGUUAGAGCGAGGAAAUGAUUAGUGCUCUAUUAACUGGUGGGGUCAUUGUUGUAUGUUGUGUAUUUAUGUGUGUUUUUUUCCUUUUCUUUCCCCCCUCCUUUUGUUGACA